AACGAACGCUGGCGGCAGGCCUAACACAUGCAAGUCGAGCGCCCUUUCGGGGGAGCGGCGGACGGGUGAGUAAGGCGUGGGAAUAUGCCCUUCUCUACGGAAUAGCCUCGGGAAACUGAGAGUAAUACCGUAUACGCCCUGUGGGGGAAAGAUUUAUCGGGGAAGGAUUAGCCCGCGUUGGAUUAGGUAGUUGGUGGGGUAAUGGCCUACCAAGCCGACGAUCCAUAGCUGGUUUGAGAGGAUGAUCAGCCACACUGGGACUGAGACACGGCCCAGACUCCUACGGGAGGCAGCAGUGGGGAAUCUUAGACAAUGGGGGCAACCCUGAUCUAGCCAUGCCGCGUGAGUGAUGAAGGCCUUAGGGUUGUAAAGCUCUUUCAGCUGGGAAGAUAAUGACGGUACCAGCAGAAGAAGCCCCGGCUAACUCCGUG
rnacentral:rRNA from 1 species